rnacentral:rRNA from 1 species
UACGGAGGGUGCAAGCGUUAAUCGGAAUUACUGGGCGUAAAGCGUGCGCAGGCGGUUUGUUAAGUCUGUUGUGAAAUCCCCGAGCUCAACUUGGGAAUUGCAAUGGAUACUGGCAGGCUGGAGUAUGGUAGAGGAAGGUGGAAUUCCCGGUGUAGCAGUGAAAUGCGUAGAGAUCGGGAGGAACACCAGUGGCGAAGGCGGCCUUCUGGGCAGUUGCUGACACUGAGGCGCGACAGCGUGGGGAGCAAACAGG